rnacentral:rRNA from 1 species
UACGAAGGAUGCAAGCGUUAUCCGGAUUUAUUGGGUUUAAAGGGAGCGUAGGCGGUCUUAUAAGUCAGUGGUGAAAUCUCGUUGCUUAACAACGAACGUGCCAUUGAUACUGUAGGACUUGAGUACAGAUGCCGUUGGCGGAAUGUGUCAUGUAGCGGUGAAAUGCAUAGAUAUGACACAGAACACCGAUUGCGAAGGCAGCUGACGAAACUGUAACUGACGCUGAGGCUCGAAAGCGUGGGGAGCGAACAGG